rnacentral:rRNA from 1 species
UUCCGGUUGAUCCUGCCGGAGGCCACUGCUAUGGGGGUCCGACUAAGCCAUGCGAGUCAUGGGGCGCCUCGCGCGCACCGGCGGACGGCUCAGUAACACGUCGGUAACCUACCCUCGGGAGGGGGAUAACCCCGGGAAACUGGGGCUAAUCCCCCAUAGGCCUGAGGUACUGGAAGGUCCUCAGGCCGAAAGGGGCUUUUGCCCGCCCGAGGAUGGGCCGGCGGCCGAUUAGGUAGUUGGUGGGGUAACGGCCCACCAAGCCGAUGAUCGGUACGGGCCAUGAGAGUGGGAGCCCGGAGAUGGACACUGAGACACGGGUCCAGGCCCUACGGGGCGCAGCAGGCGCGAAACCUCCGCAAUGCGGGCAACCGCGACGGGGGGACCCCCAGUGCCGUGGCAUCGCCACGGCUUUUCCGGAGUGUAAAGAGCUCCGGGAAUAAGGGCUGGGCAAGGCCGGUGGCAGCCGCCGCGGUAAUACCGGCGGCCCGAGUGGUGGCUGCUAUUAUUGGGCCUAAAGCGUCCGUAGCCGGGCCCGUAAGUCCCUGGCGAAAUCCCACGGCUCAACCGUGGGGCUUGCUGGGGAUACUGCGGGCCUUGGGACCGGGAGAGGCCGGGGGUACCCCUGGGGCAGGGGUGAAAUCCUAUAAUCCCAGGGGGACCGCCAGUGGCGAAGGCGCCCGGCUGGAACGGGUCCGACGGUGAGGGACGAAGGCCAGGGGAGCGAACCGGAUUAGAUACCCGGGUAGUCCUGGCUGUAAAGGAUGCGGGCUAGGUGUCGGGCGAGCUUCGGGCUCGCCCGGUGCCGAAGGGAAGCCGUUAAGCCCGCCGCCUGGGGAGUACGGCCGCAAGGCUGAAACUUAAAGGAAUUGGCGGGGGAGCACUACAAGGGGUGGAGCGUGCGGUUUAAUUGGAUUCAACGCCGGG